CUCCUUGGGGCUCCACGGCUCCGGCGACGGAGCGAGGCGAAAGCCUCGGCAACGGCUCAGAGACGAGACCCCCCUUGGCCUAGUGUGGAUGAAACGGUUGAACCGUGGACGAGGCCAAGGGGAGGCUGAAACGGCCGUCCCGUGGGGAGCAAGGCCAAGCAGGGCCGAUGAGAAGCCCCAUGAGGCCCGGGUGGGCCGCUAAGUCGAAUCCCGCUUAAACUGAAGGUGGGCUACGACCCGCUUAC
rnacentral:RNase_P_RNA from 1 species